AUAUGUGUAUGGUGUUCAGCACCAGGGACAGGUGUGAUUACCUAGGUAUGCGGAUGGUGUUUAGCACCAGGGACAGGCGUGAUUACCU
rnacentral:pre_miRNA from 1 species